AUGUCGUAUCAACCAUAUAAUCAACCACCUCCAUACACCCAACAACCAGGAUAUCCACCACCAGGCUCCGCAGGAUAUGUGCCACAACAGGGAGGAUACUAUCCACAGGGACAGCAAGGACCAUAUUAUCCACAACAACCACACGUUGUAGUCGUAGAAGAGCGUCGUGGAGGUGGACGAAGUGGAGGCAGUGACAAUUGUUGUCUUGUUGCUCUUUUAGCGUGUUGUGCUGGUUGCUGUAUUGCCGACUGUUGUGAUUGCUAAACUUCCCAAACACCCGUCUUCGCAUGUUCAAUUAAAAAAUCAAUGAAAAUGUACACAAUUGUUCUCUAUUACUUUCUGACUCCUGAUAAAAUUGUAUGA